CCAGACAGGGCCGGCACCUCAGAACACAGACACAGAGCAGGCCCUCUGGAGGGCCACCAAGAUGACUAGAGAGGAUGCAAAGGUGACAAGAGAAUGCCUUCCAUUAAAUGUCAGCCUUGACUGAAUCUGAUGGAGAACAGCAAGUGAACAACCUGAUUUUGAGAAGUCUUUUAGGAUACAGGCUUGCCUCAGAGCAACAAGUCCUUGUCAAACAUAGCUAACUGCAGCUACAACUCUCAUCUGACCUCUUACAAGGUGAAAGUAUAGUUCAUUUCAUCUGUGGUGCUUGGCAUUCCUGAGAAUCCCAUUCAACAAGCGUGAAAGAGGAUAUUCCUUCACCCAGAGCUUAAUGGACAACAAUUGUAUCGGGAAGUUACAGCAGUUUUUUGUUUUUUGUUUGGUUUUUUUUCCUCUUGUCUGGGGAGUCCUGAUUUAACAUCAACCUUCAAGUAGAAAAGUGACUUUACUGUCAGGAAAACUGAAAAGGAUCAUCUUGGUGGAAGACUUCCAUUUUGUACAAAACAAGUAUCACUGACACAGAAACAGAAUCUCAGGUAUAAAAGUGCAACCACUCUGCUGAAGGUCUAAGGUUACAAAAGCUUCCUUGUAGUGCUUUCUCCACAGAUAAGCAGAAGGGAUUUUAAAUGCGAAAAUUUUCAUAGCAUAUAAAUUAGAGUUUUUAACAUUUUAAACAGCAUAGAACUGAAGAUGGGAAAGCAAUUUUAAAACUGUCCAGGCUUGAUUCCAGACAACUCACUUUCCCAGGUCACAGAAGACUGUGCAAUUCUGUCUGGUCCUGAGGGUGGACCAGACAGGUUCUCCAGAUUCUCCACCCCCAACUCUGUCCAGUCUGUUCCCCUCUUCCCCUCAUGGCAGUAGGAUCUCCUCUUGGUCAUCCCUUCUCCAGGCUGGAAAAGCCCAGUCUGUGUUGCCUCUCCAUCACGACCUAAGAACCUGCAUUCAUUCUGGAUAAAAAUUAAAAAUGUCAAAGUAGAUCAAGAGAGAGUUGGAGAACUUCUGCUUAUUAAAUGGGUGUCUUGCUCUUAGCUUGUUUCUAUAAGAAAGCUGCUGAUGCACAAGAGGGCAGUAUGUCACAGGGAAAUCUAGCUUUGGCAUUACAGAGUACACUGCUGCGGUUUCUGGCAUAAAAAUUAUUUGGGGCUGAUGUAUCAGCUCAGUUAUUUUAAAUCCAGUCAUUGAGCCAAUUUAAUGAGCCCAAGGAACUAAGCAAAUUAACCAUGUUUUCCUACAAUUUUUCCAGACUUUACAUCUUUAUUGACUAUAUAGGCUUUUAAAAUACCAUUUCAAACUAAUGCAUAUAGGGAAUUCUGCCAGGAGUGACAAUAUUACAGUGCUGCUCCAAGCUGCAGCCAAAGUGUGAUAAUGGCAACGAUUGCCUCAGCAGCAAGUGCUGGCUCUGAUGAUUCAAGGUCACCUCUCAUUUGCAGCAGAGGAACUUCCAAAAACUGGUGUUUCACCACCCAAAGGAAUCUGGAAUUGAGUUUUUCCUUCUGUGCAAUUUCAGGAGAGUUAAAGUCGAUUUGUGAU